GAUGAAGAACGUAGCGAAAUGCGAUACGUAAUGUGAAUUGCAGAAUUCAGUGAAUCAUCGAAUCUUUGAACGCAUAUUGCGCUCUCUGGUAUUCCGGAGAGCAUGCUUGUUUGAGUAUCAGUAAACACCUCAACUUCAAUAUCUUUUUUGAAAUGGGAGUUGGACUUGAGUGAUCCCAACGCUUUUCCUCACCGAAAAGUGGCGGGUUACUUGAAAUGCAGGUGCAGCUGGACUUUUCUCUGAGCUAUAAGCAUAUCUAUUUAGUCUGCCUAAAAAACAGAUUAUUACCUUUGCUGCAGCUAACAUAAAGGAGAUUAGUUCUUGUGCUGACUGAUGCAGGAUUCACAAAGACGGCUUCGGCCGACUUUGUAAACUCGAUCUCAAAUCAAGUAAGACUACCCGCUGAACUUAAGCAUAUCAAUAAGCGGAGGA
rnacentral:misc_RNA from 1 species